GAUGAACGCUGGCGGCGUGCCUAAUACAUGCAAGUCGAGCGAACGGACGAGAAGCUUGCUUUUCUGAUGUUAGCGGCGGACGGGUGAGUAACACGUGGAUAACCUACCUAUAAGACUGGGAUAACUUCGGGAAACCGGAGCUAAUACCGGAUAAUAUUUUGAACCGCAUGGUUCAAAAGUGAAAGACGGUCUUGCUGUCACUUAUAGAUGGAUCCGCGCUGCAUUAGCUGGUUGGUAAGGUAACGGCUUACCAAGGCAACGAUGCAUAGCCGACCUGAGAGGGUGAACGGCCACAGUGGAACUGAGACACGGUCCAGACUCCUACGGGAGGCAGCAGUAGGGAAUCUUCCGCAAUGGGCGAAAGCCUGACGGAGCAACGCCGCGUGAGUGAUGAAGGUCUUCGGAUCGUAAAACUCUGUUAUUAGGGAAGAACAUAUGUGUAAGUAACUGUGCACAUCUUGACGGUACCUAAUCAGAAAGCCACGGCUAACUACGU
rnacentral:rRNA from 1 species